rnacentral:lncRNA from 12 species
GGGCACGGGGGCUCGGGGCGCGGGGCACGGGGCGUCGGGACCCCGCGGGAGGCGACCCUCGCGCCCGCACCCCCUCCUGGGCGCCCGGGCUUGCGAGGCGGAUGCAGGCCCCUCCCCGGCCCGCCCGCGGGUCUCUCCGGGGCCCCGGCCUGGGCCGCGGGGCGGGGGGUCGGUCUCCGGGGGACGCCUCGGGUGCGUGGAGGGCGCGGGCGCGAGCUCCCGCCGCUGCCAGUGGUCCCCGAGCGGCCGCCGCCGCCACCGCCUUAUCGCGGCGCCGCCCCCGCCGGCCCCCGCCCCGCGCCCGCCCAUUGGCUCCGCCGCGCCCGGAGCCGCCUCCGGGGCCCCGGCGCCGCCGCCGACCCCCUCUGCGCUUUGUCUUCCCCUCGCUCGCGUCCCCUGCCUUUGUCUGCCCCGCCGCCCCGACCCCGCGCUCCGGCGCCCGCGCCGCCCCCGCCGGCCCGCUCCAGACCGAGGCGGGGACGAUCGCCGGGGCGUCCCUGGGCCUCCCGCGGCCUCAGUUUCCCCAGGGUGACAGCCCCGCGGGGGCGGCCGGGUCCGGGAUCCCACGCCCGCUCCGGCCGCGGAGCCCUCCCGCCGCCAGAGGCCGCCCCCGAGGCGGCAGGGCCAGCCGGCACGCGGUCCCGCCCCGCGAGGCUGCGAGGCUGCGAGGCUGCGAGGCUGCGAGGCUGCGAGGCUGCGAGGCUGCGAGGCGCGGCGCCCCGUGGUGGUCACCUGGGGCCGCCGGCUCCCCGCGGGCCGGUCUGUGGGGGUCCGGUCUGCUGCGACCCCACAGGCAAGGGCCCCCGGAGGCUGCAAGGCCCGCGGCGCGACAGCGUUCCUGUGGUGCCCGUGUGUGGCGGGAGUCCCGCCGCGCCUCACCCACCGACACCGUCGCCUGAGAGAAAUCGAGGGCACCCCCUUCGGACGGUUCCGUCCUUCAGACAAGCGAAUCUCAAUCUCGGCGCCCGAACCUCCCUUGAACCUCCCUCACCGCGAGGGAGCGAGGGAGCGAGGGAGCGAGGCCUGAAGAUCCAACGCCGGCUCCAAGUACCCAAGCUGGGCGGCGGGCUUGGCCGCUCCGUACUCCCUGCCCGCUGGCCCAGCGGCUGCCCGGGCUCCAGCGCACCGCUGGACGGUGGGAGGGCACAGGGGGUGACUGUCACCCACGGGGGGGGGGGGGGUAGGGCCUCAGUUGUGCUGUGCAUGCGGCCGUGGCUUCCCGGAGGGGCCUCUGUGGGGAGAUGCCGUCUACCUGGCUGCGGGGACUGCCGGGCUCCGCCUGAGGUCUGGCUGGAAGCAGUUUCACCAAACACAGCCCUAAACAUAGCUUGUUCCCACACUGUGGCAGGAAUAGAACUAGUGGCUCCAGAGCACAGCCCACACACACGUGUCAGGGAACGGAACAGCUCAGAGCCGCAGGGGCUGGAGGGAGGGAGCAGCUUCCCCAGGCCCCAGCUGUUCCCUUGGCUCCCUCAGGGCUCCCAUGGCCUGCUUUGCUUUUUCUCCCCAGCCUCCUGCCCCGCCCUAGAGGAAGAUUUAUGUUUGGGGGGAGCUGCAGGCCCAGACUCCUUGGAUGGGGUGUGUGUGUGUGUGUGUGUGUGUGUGUGUGUGUGUGUAUGUGAGACAAUUCUAAAACUGUGUUUGUGUGCAUCUUUCCUGGCAGCUUGCACACCAGUGACCAGAUUCUCAAAGGCGGCUGCAGUGAUGCAGGAAAGCGUGGCCCUCACCCACUGGAGGAGCACCAGGAGCAAGCUGCGCCUGCAGCAGGCACUGUGGAGCCACCUCCCCUGCCCAGGACAGGUCUGCGGGGGUGGGGGGGUGGGGUGGGGGGAUCUGCCAGCAGCCACCACAGGAACAGCAGCUUGGGCGCGGAGGAUGAACGGACCCGACCACAAGGUGAAGAAAGCAGUUCAGAAGGAAAGAAAACAGGCUGAUGAUGGUGUUGAGAAAAGGGAACUUGAGGUUUAA